GAUGAAGAACGUAGCGAAAUGCGAUAAGUAAUGUGAAUUGCAGAAUUCAGUGAAUCAUCGAAUCUUUGAACGCACAUUGCGCCCGCCAGUAUUCUGGCGGGCAUGCCUGUUCGAGCGUCAUUACAACCCUCAGGCCCCCGGGCCUGGCGUUGGGGAUCGGCGGAAGCCCCGCGGGCACAACGCCGUCCCCCAAAUACAGUGGCGGUCCCGCCGCAGCUUCCAUUGCGUAGUAGCUAACACCUCGCAACUGGAGAGCGGCGCGGCCACGCCGUAAAACACCCAACUUCUGAAUGUUGACCUCGAAUCAGGUAGGAAUACCCGCUGAACUUAAGCAUAUCAAUAAGCGGAGGA
rnacentral:misc_RNA from 1 species